GCCUGGCUCUUUGGCGAUGUGGUCAGCGCGAGUGACUCUCACCCAAGAGUCUGGGGUUCAAUCCCCCACCCAGGCC